UACGGGGGGAGCAAGCGUUGUUCGGAUUUACUGGGCGUAAAGGGCUCGUAGGCGGCCAACUAAGUCGGACGUGAAAUCCCCAGGCUCAACCUGGGAACUGCGUCCGAUACUGGAUGGCUUGAAUCCGGGAGAGGGAUGCAGAAUUCCAGGUGUAGCGGUGAAAUGCGUAGAUAUCUGGAGGAACACCGGUGGCGAAGGCGGCAUUCUGGACUGCAACUGACACUGAGAGACGAAAGCCAGGGGAGCAAACGGG
rnacentral:rRNA from 1 species